rnacentral:rRNA from 1 species
CAGCACCUCAAGUGGUCAGGAUGAUUAUUGGGCCUAAAGCAUCCGUAGCCGGCUCUGUAAGUUUUCGGUUAAAUCUGUAUGCUCAACAUACAGGCUGCCGGGAAUACUGCAAAGCUAGGGAGUGGGAGAGGUAGACGGUACUCGGUAGGAAGGGGUAAAAUCCUUUGAUCUAUUGAUGACCACCUGUGGCGAAGGCGGUCUGCCAGAACACGUCCGACGGUGAGGGAUGAAAGCUGGGGGAGCAAACCGGAUUAGAUACCCGAGUAGUCC